UUCAGUGUUCACUGUCACGUCACUGAGGCUAAAGAGACAACGCUUUAUAUAUACAGUCUAUGCUAACAACCGACAACAGUUUGUUCCAAAAGAUGGCAGAAAUAGCCGGAUCGACAUCCAGAGAGGAAAUCCUGAAGGAAAGUGGGCCUCCCGCCAUACUUGGACAAGUGUGGAUCAUUGAGACAGCGUGGUGUCCAGAGGUCUUAUCCCGUUUUCCCACUUCCUCUGAGGGGACAGCACGGAGGGGGGGCAUGAAGAAAGACCUGCACCAGCUUCAUCCACGCUGGGCAUUGCUGUUAUCAGUGUCAUUUCAUUUGACCAAAUUGUAUUUAUUAUUUGAUUAUUCAAAUCAAGUUUUAUUUAUAUAGCACAUUUAUAAACGAUUUUUG